UACGGGGGGGGCAAGCGUUGUUCGGAAUUACUGGGCGUAAAGGGCUCGUAGGUGGCCAACUAAGUCAGACGUGAAAUCCCUCGGCUUAACCGGGGAACUGCGUCUGAUACUGGAUGGCUUGAGUUCGGGAGAGGAAUGCGGAAUUCCAGGUGUAGCGGUGAAAUGCGUAGAUAUCUGGAGGAACACCGGUGGCGAAGGCGGCAUUCUGGACCGAUAUUGACGCUGAGGAGCGAAAGCCAGGGGAGCAAACGGG
rnacentral:rRNA from 1 species